rnacentral:misc_RNA from 1 species
CCUCGGUCCUCCGUCGGUCAUGGCAUGUGUCCCUUGUUACUGACCUUCCUCUCUCUACAAAAGCGUUCUCUCUCUUGCUCUGAGCCAAAAAAGCUUCAACUUUAACCAGUGCUCUGUUUUCUUCGCGAUAUGGAAAUGGCGGAAGGGAUUAAAUGGUAAUUUUACAUGAACUGGGGGCAGUUGUUUAAGAGGGGUAUUAUUAGUAUCGCCAUCCCUGC